rnacentral:misc_RNA from 1 species
GAAAGAAGAGUGCUUGAGCAAUUACAGCCUCAUAAGCAUCUGAGCUAUCUUUCUAUUGUUGGUUUUGGGGCUUCAAGAUUUCCAAAUUGGGUUGGUGAUCAUUCUUUCUCAAAUCUACUAUCCUUGAAGUUAAGCGGGAGUAAAAGGUGCUUAUCCUUACCCCCACUUGGUCAGUUGGUAUCUCUACAAGACCUCUCCAUCACAGCAUUUGAUAAAGUAGAGAUUGUGGGUUCUGAGUUUUAUGGAAGAAGCCGCACGCCCAAAAAGAAGCCAUUUUGUUCCCUCAAAAUUUUAAGAUUUGAGAAAAUACCACAGUGGCA